AUUAGCAAACCCUAGCCACCUGUUGGCUUUUCUCUCUCUCUCUCUAUCUCUUCGUCAUUACCGGCCAAAAAUGUCAAAAUUACAGGCGAACGUUGCUUGUUGGAGUUGAUGCUACCACUUUUCAGGUAAGAGCAUUAAUUUCUCUUACCCUCUCUCAUUCAUCUCCACCGUUGAACCACCAACAAGGGGAGAAGCAUAAGACGUCAAAUCCAUUUUCGACAGAGGCUGGGCAAAGAAGAGAGUACCAGGAUAGAUCUACUUCUACCCCUAGUGGCUGAUAUUCGAGGAUUGCUGAUUCGAGUCUCUUCAGGGUGAGCCUGAGGACGAUCGCUGCCCAAAGACUCUUCCUAUUAUUAUGUCUUGCUUUCCAUUUUGAGACAUGAUUUUGAAACUAUUAUGUAUUAUUAUUCAGACUUGUAGUAAUUAGUUUAGAUGCUCUUGUAUGACUAGACCAGCUACUGGGGUGGAUUUUUUUUUUACUUCCGUACUUAUUUUUAUUAUAUUUUUGAG